GACAAUAUUAAGUGUCUACUUAAAAUAAUAAUUAUACUUAAGUUAGUUAUGGACAAUCAACGAUAUGUUGCAUACUAUGACAUGAUCUGGAUCAUCAACUGAAAUAGCAUGCAUGGAACAACAUGUAACCAUCAAAUGCUGGCAAGGAAAACUUAUUGCAUGUUGGCAGGACACCUGAGGACAUGCUGAUGGACGGAGAAACUUCAAAAACUGAACAUACGUUUUACGAUACAGUUGAAAAAGAAAGAAAUACAUCUUCUGGCACUAAAAUGGAUUCAUUGUUGGUUUUGAAACUCUUUUCUAAGUAACAUACUUCUGAAGGUAGGUUUCAUAGCUGAAAAAAUUUUGGAAGCGAUGCAUGAAUGAAAAGUUUUAUUUGAACUAUUGAAAGAUUGUCGACAAAUAAAAACAAAAGUUAGGUACUUCUUUAAGAAAUCUGUACUUUGUUUUUAAAGUUAUUGCUUAAAGAAACUACUCAUCAAUUAACCUAAUAUAAGAUCUUUCACGACCUUCACAGGAGAGAAUUUUUGGAAUCCGUAUAUAAAAUUGUCUAUACUGGCUCCUUUUCUGCAAUUAACAAAAUAAGAUAAGUAAUAUCAUUUUUUAUAUAAAACCAUAAUUUCAGUUAUAAUGUAUUAUAAUAUUAUAUUUUGUUAUACAUAGGAGUAGUAUCGGCCUUGGAGUCCAUUUUGUCAAAGUGCCUCUCAAAAAUACUAGUUAAGCAUUUUUUUUCAGCUUUAGUUUUGUAACAAAAGCUAAUUAAUUAAAACAAUAAUUACGAACAUUGAAUCCCAAUGGUUUAUGCUGCCAUUUAAGUAUAAUAAAUAAUAGUACAUACAUAAAAUUAUAUUAAUGGUUAUAAUUAUAAUUAUUUCUAUUGUGAAAAUACCAAAAAUAAAAUAAAAAUACAGCACCUAUUACAAAGCUUAGAUAAUCAU